UGUACCCGCGGCAAGACGGAAAGACCCCGUGAACCUUUACUAUAGCUUGACACUGAACAUUGAGCCUUGAUGUGUAGGAUAGGUGGGAGGCUUAGAAGUGUGGACGCCAGUCUGCAUGGAGCCGACCUUGAAAUACCACCCUUUAAUGUUUGAUGUUCUAACGUUGACCCGUGAUCCGGGUUGCGGACAGUGUCUGGUGGGUAGUUUGACUGGGGCGGUCUCCUCCUAAAGAGUAACGGAGGAGCACGAAGGUUGGCUAAUCCUGGUCGGACAUCAGGAGGUUAGUGCAAUGGCAUAAGCCAGCUUGACUGCGAGCGUGACGGCGCGAGCAGGUGCGAAAGCAGGUCAUAGUGAUCCGGUGGUUCUGAAUGGAAGGGCCAUCGCUCAACGGAUAAAAGGUACUCCGGGGAUAACAGGCUGAUACCGCCCAAGAGUUCAUAUCGACGGCGGUGUUUGGCACCUCGAUGUCGGCUCAUCACAUCCUGGGGCUGAAGUAGGUCCCAAGGGUAUGGCUGUUCGCCAUUUAAAGUGGUACGCGAGCUGGGUUUAGAACGUCGUGAGACAGUUCGGUCCCUAUCUGCCGUGGGCGCUGGAGAACUGAGGGGGGCUGCUCCUAGUACGAGAGGACCGGAGUGGACGCAUCACUGGUGUUCGGGUUGUCAUGCCAAUGGCACUGCCCGGUAGCUAAAUGCGGAAGAGAUAAGUGCUGAAAGCAUCUAAGCACGAAACUUGCCCCGAG
rnacentral:rRNA from 1 species